UACAGAGGGUGCAAGCGUUAAUCGGAAUUACUGGGCGUAAAGCGUGCGCAGGCGGUUAUGCAAGACAGAUGUGAAAUCCCCGGGCUUAACCUGGGAACUGCAUUUGUGACUGCAUAGCUAGAGUACGGUAGAGGGGGAUGGAAUUCCGCGUGUAGCAGUGAAAUGCGUAGAUAUGCGGAGGAACACCGAUGGCGAAGGCAAUCCCCUGGACCUGUACUGACGCUCAUGCACGAAAGCGUGGGGAGCAAGCAGG
rnacentral:rRNA from 1 species